rnacentral:lncRNA from 1 species
AGUGUUCCUACAUUUUGCUAUUUCUCAAGGGAAGGUGAAAAUCUCAACUUUGAGCUUUCAGUAGAUUUAAUUUCAGAUUUUUAGUAAAAAGACAAAUAUAUUAAUAUUAUGAUCAUUAACGCAAUAAGUUUUAAAGAUCUAGAUUAGAGAAUCACCAAUGUAUAACCAAUAUUGGAUUCAUAGUUGUAGGUAGACCAUAUGGGCAGAGCCUGUAGAGUGAAAAUCAAAGAUUGAAGAAUCACAAAUUAAAGGAUGAACAGUGAAAGAGAAGCCUAAUUCAAGAAGUAGCUGGAACUGAGAAGUACUUGGAGGAAUUGGACUCACCCCAAACAUUGGAUACCUGAAAGAAGGGUUCAUAAACACAGUUUGGCUUGUUUAUUAGAGUUCAAAAACCUGGCAAAGUACAUCGCUGCAGCUCUGUUUCAUCUGCUGUGUUGACACGAAGAUCAGUGACCCUUUUUGAAUGAUCGAGAUUUUGACAGCUUAAUUUCUGUGUCAUGAGUUGCUAAGGUAACACUAUUUUUGUGAAUUCCACAGUUAAUAAAUCCUUAAGAAAUGUCUUCC